UGCAGACUCAGAGGGCCCCUGAGGCAUUUCCAUUCUGGAUUGAGCAGCAGGGAAACUUUGAGUGGCAUUAGCCUUCGGCACUGAGGAAAUCCCUCUGGAACGACUGAUGAAUGAAUGACUGUGAUCGUGGGUUUCAAUAGAGGCUGGCACCGUUUUCCUGGAAAGUUAUUUAUCCUCCGAUGAUUUUUCCGUGGCCCAUCUGAAAUGAAGUGAGAAGUCCCAGCCCUGUGUCUAGACAACAUGUUCCUACCACAGGCCCUCCACAACCACUGGCAGCCAGUGAACUUGGACAAUGAACUAUUCUCUGACUGCUAGAGGCCACCCUCCAGUCAGGGCUGGAGUAUCUUUGC